rnacentral:rRNA from 1 species
GACGAACGCUGGCGGCGUGCUUAACACAUGCAAGUCGAACGGAAAGGCCCUGCUUUUGUGGGGUGCUCGAGUGGCGAACGGGUGAGUAACACGUGAGUAACCUGCCCUUGACUUUGGGAUAACUUCAGGAAACUGGGGCUAAUACCGGAUAGGAGCUCCUGAUGCAUGGUGGGGGUUGGAAAGUUUCGGCGGUUGGGGAUGGACUCGCGGCUUAUCAGCUUGUUGGUGGGGUAGUGGCUUACAAAGGCUUUGACGGGUAGCCGGCCUGAGAGGGUGACCGGCCACAUUGGGACUGAGAUACGGCCCAGACUCCUACGGGAGGCAGCAGGGGGGAAUAUUGCACAAUGGGCGGGAGCCUGAUGCAGCAACGCCGCGUGCGUGAUGACGGCCUUCGGGUUGUAAACCGCUUUCGCCUGUGACGAAGCGUGAGUGACGGUAAUGGGUAAAGAAGCACCGGCUAACUACGUG